AUUGUCUGUGUGGCCCUCUGAAUCUUGGAUAUUUUUGUAGUAUGGUGGCAAUGAAGUUUUUUUUCCUCAGAUUAGUAAACAUCUCUCUUCAUGGAAUAUCACACAGGAAUGGCAAAGCUAUGAACUUAAACUACUUGUGACCAAGGAAUAUCAAGAAUUGUACUUCUCUCAGCACAAAAGCAAGUGCACACCAAGUGCUCUUGCCAGCAGAUGAUCAAUUUUGACUUCAAGAACAGGAGCUCCAGGAGAACCUUGGGCCUGACUUGUGGCAUCUCUGCAAUUUGUAUCUCAUGGUGCUGCAUCUGUGUCUUCAACAAGGCUUCUGAGGGAGAGACAGCUCUACUACAUGACAGGGGAUAAGGUUUAGAUGAAACAGCAGGACUGAUCCUACAUCAAAAUAAGGAAUGAGCCCUUCUGCUUAAAACUGUGCUUAUGUGAAUGCAACCAUUGAAUGCGUAAAGAUGACACAAGUAAAGCCCAAGGGACAAAGCAUUUGAUUUAUCUACUCUUCUCUUAUGUGUGACAAUAAACAAACAAAAAAAGACAAAUCCAUUUCUCCACCGGAUGUAUGAAAGUAAACACAGAGGAAGAAGUUUCAAAGGAAAACAGCAUUAAUGGCAACUUAAACAUAACCAAACCAUCAAAGGAAUCUCUGGUACAGUAUUUCUUUAACAAGAAUAGCGAAGAACUUACUACAAGGAAAAAACCACCCAACUUCUUGUCACAGUGAA